rnacentral:misc_RNA from 1 species
AUCAAAUGUAUCAAAUUUCAUAUGUUCCCUCGUCUUGAAUUGGUUCAGUAAUAUGGGGCAGAAUUCAUCAUAGAUCUGGCAAGCACUUCCAGAUUCAGAUGGGCUGCGGUCCUUUUCCAAAUUUUUAUUCUGCAUCAAAAUGUAUCCUCCAGGAACUUUGUCUCCUGAAAUAACAUCUUGGAGCCAAUCUUCAAAUUUUGCAACAGCAUGAACCAAAACCUGCAUUGCAUUAUCAUCUAAC